rnacentral:rRNA from 1 species
UAACCAGACUCCUACGGGAGGCAGCAGUGGGGAAUAUUGCACAAUGGGGGGAACCCUGAUGCAGCGACGCCGCGUGGGUGAAGGAGCACCUCGGUGCGUAAAGCCCUAUCGGCAGGGAAGAAACAGACGGUACCUGACUAAGAAGCCCCGGCUAACUACGUGCCAGCAGCCGCGGUAAUACGGAGGGGGCAAUCGUUAUCCGGAUUCACUGGGUGUAAAGGGAGCGUAGACGGCGACGCAAGUCUGGAGUGAAAGCCCGGGGCCCAACCCCGGGACUGCUCUGGAAACUGCGGCGCUGGAGUACGGGAGGGGCAGGCGGAAUUCCUGGUGUAGCGGUGAAAUGCGUAGAUAUUAGGAGGAACACCAGUGGCGAAGGCGGUCAACUGGACAGCAACUGACGCUGAGGCGCGAAAGCGUGGGGAGCAAACAGGAUUAGAUACCCGAGUAAA